rnacentral:rRNA from 1 species
GACAGAGGAUGCAAGCGUUAUCCGGAAUGAUUGGGCGUAAAGCGUCUGUAGGUGGCUUUUUAAGUCUGCCGUCAAAUCCCAGGGCUUAACCCUGGACAGGCGGUGGAAACUACCAAGCUGGAGUACGGUAGGGGCAGGGGGAAUUUCCGGUGGAGCGGUGAAAUGCGUAGAGAUCGGAAAGAACGCCAACGGCGAAAGCACUCUGCUGGGCCGACACUGACACUGAGAGACGAAAGCUAGGGGAGCGAAUGGG